GGGAAGGUAGCUUAAGUGGUAAAGUCUGGCGCGCGUAUAACAACAAUGAAUACAGGGUUUGCCGGUUCGAAUCCGGCCCUUCCCC
rnacentral:tRNA from 1 species